rnacentral:rRNA from 1 species
AAGACCUUGCGCUUUUGGAGCGGCCGAUGUCUGAUUAGCUUGUUGGUAAGGUAAAAGCUUACCAAGGCUUCGAUCAGUAGCUGGUCUGAGAGGACGGCCAGCCACACUGGGACUGAGACACGGCCCAGACUCCUACGGGAGGCAGCAGUGGGGAAUUUUGGACAAUGGGGGCAACCCUGAUCCAGCCAUGCCGCGUGAGUGAAGAAGGCCUUCGGGUUGUAAAGCUCUUUCAGCCGGAACGAAACGGUUACGGUUAAUACCCGUGAUUACUGACGGUACCGGAAGAAGAAGCACCGGCUAACUACGUGCCAGCAGCCGCGGUAAUACGUAGGGUGCGAGCGUUAAUCGGAAUUACUGGGCGUAAAGCGUGCGCAGGUGGUUUUGUAAGUCAGAUGUGAAAGCCCCGGGCUCAACCUGGGAACU